UGGGCCUUGACUUUCCCAUGACUUCUCUCUGGCAGGGGCCUGGCCCUCCUCCCCACUGUGCCCUGGCCGCAGCCCGGCUCCGGGUAGAGGGAGGGUGCGUGCGAGGGGUGUGCCACUGCUCUUGCUCUCCCCAGGGCCGCGGGUGAGCCGGCUGCUGGGAGCCCGGGCAGUCCCCGAGGACCUGACCUACCACUGCGGGGGCGACAGGGCUCCCCCCAAGCAGCCUCCUCUGUGCUCAGGUCUGGGAACGAGCCCUGGGGUUUGAAUUCCGGCCCCCUUCUCCCCGGCCUCCUGGCUGAGCGACUCUAGGCAAGCCAGCCCAGCUUCCCACGCCUCUGUGUCCUGUCUGUAAGACGGCUUCCGACAAUCCCCCCCUGGCAGAGGAUAAUGAGCGUGGAAGUGCUGUGUGUAAACUGCUCAGCACACGCAGGGUUGUUGGGGCCGUCAGCCCCCGAGCUGCUCAAAGCAGGAGCUGGGACGAGGCUGAGGCCCUGUAGCCUGGACAGGACAAAGCAAUCAGCGCUGUCCAACUGAGGAGACUGCGAGCAGGGAAGGAGAUGAAGGGGCAGCCAUUUAUCUUCUCGGCCUCUCCUGCUUGUGGGAUGCUUUCAGCCUAUAAAGAGGACGCGGAAACCAACACGAGCUCUUGGAGGAGGGGGUCUCUGCAGCCCCAGUCCCUGGUGAGGCUUCACUCCCCGUGCCCUGCCUCCCGGCCGCUGCCUCUUUAAUCCAUUUAACGCCUCCUCAUCUCAGGUCCCCAGGGCCUCCUUGACAAAUGAAAAACUCCCGGGGUCCCCGUUACGGCAGCCCCUGGGCUUGGGGCUCCUAGCACUGGCUGCACUCUUCCGGGGGACGGGACAGGUCUGCAAGGUCAGGCUAAGGCAGGCUGACCUUGAAGCCUCCUCUGCCUCCCCUGACUGCCUCCCUCUCCAAGCUCAGCGAGCUCCAGCACAUUAAAAAGCUGUUAAAAGCGUCCAUCUGGUUCACUGCCUCCCUGGCUCUGCUGCCGAAGGCGGGAGAGCAGCCUCGUUCAGAGGGACUAGGAAUGGAGCCCAGGAAGACACAGGUUGGAACCUUACCUCUGCGCUGUGCUUGCUGUGUGACCCUGAGCAAGUCACUUGGCUCUGGAAGCCUCAGCUCACUACCUGCAUGCCUGCCCUGCCCCGUUGCCGGAC